GCACAAGUCAUCGUCCGGAAGCUAACCAAUAAUCUAUCGGCAUUGGCUCUGGAAAGAUAUUGAUCGAUCCGUACUGAGAAUCUCUAACCUACAAAAAUCAAGCAAAAUUGGCAGUAUACUAUGAGGAUGUCUGCCUGGGCCCUGUAAUUACACAUCACAGACUCCCAUCCACGUUGACGCGUGUCCUACUAAAGCAGUGAUGUAGCUGAAAGUAUGUGGUACUUUUUAUUUUACUUUGCUGCAGUGUAAACAGAUUUGAAACGGAUGACAAGCUCCCCCUGUUAUAGAUAUCAACAAGAGCUCAGAACUCAUCCAGCCUCUUGGAUGGAAAUCAUUAACUUGGGAUGUGCUCUCAACUGUUGCCACGUUCCACGUACAGUGUUAGAAUAAGAACAAGGCUCUAGAAAGCUCAAUAACGGAACAGCGGGUUGGAGGGGUCUGAGCUCCUCCUUUGUUGUUUUCAAAAGAAUGUCUUGCAACCUGGUCUGAUCAAAGCCUUCUGAAAUAUUCAGGACUCAUAUAAUAUUCAGUUUGUACGAAUGAAUCUAUGGAUUUCACUUAUGGAAACACCAGACACAAGUCGGCAAAUCUAAGAGUGUCUUUCCAUUUGCUCGCAUUGUGCGAAAGGAACG